rnacentral:tRNA from 1 species
UUAAGAAUGCCAGAGGGAAUAUGGGUUUGCUUUAGGAGCAAAAAACGGUGCUGAGGUACCUUCUUAAA